GGUUCGCAUAACUACAUCACCAGGAAAAAAAGCAAAGUAUUCAAGGGCAGAGAACCUGCAGUUUUUCACCCUUUAAGCCUGAAAAAUUCAUAAUCGGAUGCAGGACUGAAUUCUGAGCCUCAGAACCAAACCACACUUUGAGAGAAGUAAAUUUCACUGAAACCAGUUACCUUUAUUUCCAGGUAAAUGUAUAGCACUUAAAGCAGAAAGCAUGGUCCUCUUUCAGGUUCCAAGUCUCCCAUAGAUACUAACACAGAUACUGUUCAUCCAUUCAUCAUUCAUUCAUUUUAUUUGUAUGCCUCCUAUACACAACAAAAUCAUGUUCAACGUGGCCAAUAACAAAGAAACAGAUGCAUCUCAAACAAACACUACAAAAAUAAUUUAUUAAUAUGUCCCAGGGGUGUGGCGCUCUGCCCACAGGGGCGUGGUGAGCGUCCUGGAGCGCAGGCGGGGGGAAGCCAUGAUGGCACCCCACCGGGAUCACACUGCCGGGGGCGGUGCGCUCCCCCCGUACUCCUCUUCCUCCACCACUGAUCAUAAUCCAGUGGCACAUGUUUUGCACACACAAGGCUCCAGCUUCAAUGAUCCUGGAGAGCUAUUACAAGUCAGAGCAGAUAGUACUGGUGUUCUAACUACUAGCCCAGGGUUCUUCAAUCUUGGUUCUCCAGAUGUUGGGAUACAACUCCAACCAUCCCCAGACAGCUUAGCCAACAGGCAGGACUGAUGGGAAUUGCAGUCUUAACAACAUCUGGGGGCUCAAGGUUGAGGAACAUUUGCCUAACCUGAUACUAGAUUGUUUCCUAUGUUCUUAUGGAAUCCCUUGUACCUAGGUAUUUUUAGAAAUGAAUGUAUACUAUAACAUUAUUUAUUGAGGACUGUAACUGAGUGGUAGAGCCUUGUAAGCAGAAGACCACAGGUUCAACCCCAGCAUCUCCAGGUAGGGCUGGGAGGAGAUCUCUGUCUGAAACCCUAAAGAGCUACUGACAAACAAGGGUCAGUAUAGACAGUACUGAGCUAGAUGGAGCAAUGGUCUGUUAUCUAUUUACAUUAAUACAGUACCUUCAACAUUCAGAGAGUAACAGAAGCAAAGAGAGAGGCAUGGAGAAGGGGGCAGCGAAAAAAUUAUUUCCUGCCUCAAACUAAACUUAUUCCCAAACACGUACUGCCAGUGGCAUUGCUAGAAACUUAAAAGAAUCAGUGUCCAGAGCUAUUACACAAAUUUGCGCAUAAUUUGCAAAUACUAAUUCAUAUGGAAUUGAUAAACUUGUGGGCCUCUGAGAAGAUGGUGCAUGCCGAUCUUGCUGGCACUGCAUUUUGUGGCAAUGUGGAGCCACCCUACAAGCAAAGUAUUUUUAAAAAGCUUAUUUUUUUAAGAAAAUGGAGGAAAUGGCAAGAAACUUGGAACCCAGCAGAAGAGACCCACUGUUCAGGCCUCACUGGGCCAUCGCCUAACAGUGUCACAGCGCACAACAUAUUAAAACGCACAGUCAAAACAUCUAAGAGGUAAGCAGAUAUUGCUUAAGACACUGCUAAAAUAAUCAAACUUGUUUGGAAGUAGGUGUCACUGAGGUCAGUGAAACUCAGUUCCGUCUAUACUUACUUAGGGUUAGGCUUCAUGUGACAUAGAUGGAUUUGUUCACAUAUUUACCAACACAACAAAAGAAAAGUUUUGUAUACUUCUAAUAGGUCCCUUUUUCAAAGUGUAACCAUAGUUACAGUAUGCAAUUUUUGGCUGCAGGUAUAAUCACAGAGCAACACUUGAUCUCUGCAAUUUAACAAUUUGCUUAGCCAAUGAUCAUGAAGGUGGUGUACAGAUGAUUGGAGACAGUAUUAUAAGCAAGAAAAAAAGUAUGAUGUGUAAAACUGCACAGGUGCAGGAUUAGUAAUUAUCUCUAUAAAGCAAAAACUGUCUAAACUGCCUUUCCCCAACCUGGCACCCUCCAGGUGUUUUGAACUACAACCCCCAUCUGGUACAUCCAUUGGAAGCUGUAGUUCUGAAACAGCUGGAGGGAAGCAAGUUGAGAAAAACUGGCCUGUAUAAGUUGGUAUGAGGUUUUUUAAAAAAAGAAAGAAAAAGAAAAAGCUUCCUGUCUUGUUCCAAGGGUACAUUUUCUUCGGAGGAUGAACACAAUAAGAAUAUUCUGUUAUAAAGUAGAAAAUAAAGGAAGAGACAGACUUUUGCUCAAUAAUAUAGAGGUCAUUGGAGAAAAGGUUGUUUUCUCUCUUAUUUUGCACCUUAAAUGAUGAGCAUUUAAGGUCUCCAACCCCAUUUUGUGGGUUGCCAUCUGAAUGGAUUUUAUUCUGAUCCUGAUCUGAUUUUAGGAUGUAUUUUAACAGAUUGUGUGAUUUUAUGUUAAUGUGUUAUACAUUUGAUGUUAGCUGCUCUGAGCCCUGUUUUGGCCAGGGAGGGUGGGGUAUAAAUAAACAUCAUCAUCAUCAUCAUUAUUUAAACUGGAGAAAGUUCUUAGCAAUCCCCUAAGGUACGCUUACAUGUGUCAGGAAGGUUUUUUAAAUCUCUCUUCCUGGUUUAGUUAUCUUAUGCUUUGUACUAGGGAUGGAGAACCUCUGCCCAUCCAGAUGUUGUGGAUUCCAUAAUCCAUGACUGUUGGCAAUGCUGACUGGGGCUGAUGAGAGCAGGAACACACCAACCUCUGGAGGACCACAGAUUUUCUCUUUUUAUUAAUAAAUAUUAAUUGUGCACCUGUGUGGUUUCUUUCUCUCACACACAUGGUUGGUGGUGCAGGAAUUAUUUAUUUAUUUAGUAAUGGUAAAGCUGUCAUUGUUCAAGAUACAGAUACUGAGUGUCUGUGUGUCCCAUCUUGAUCUCCGAUCAUACUGGUUUUAUUGGUCAUUUUAACAUUUCAUGCUUUCCAGAAUGGUGAAAAAACUCCAGUGAGCCUCACUUCUUGAAUUAUGACCUGCUUUGCUGUAAUAGGCAUCAGCUAAUUUGGAUAUGACUCUGGAAACUGUUUAUAAGGAGGAAAUGCAUACCUAUCUUCCACAUACAAAAUACUUUAAAAAAAAUCAUAUAUAUUUAAAGUCCGUGAAAAGGGUGUUUAAAUGCAAGGUAGCCUCCCCUCAGCAGAAUUGAUUAGAGUGUAUAUAUAGUCUGAUUUCCUUUAUGUGUGAAAUUGAUAGAACAGAACAUGUUUCCAACUCUGGUUUGGUCAGAUUUCACCACUCCAGUGAGGUGCUUCGGACUAAAAGAAACAACUACAAUUAGAAACUAGGAAAAAAAUUAACUAACAAGCUUUCUCGCCUGCAGCAAGCCUCCCCCAUUAUGUCUGAACAUUUAUGAAGCUACCAGUGGUUGAUUUAUUACUGCUGUAAUGAACUUCACAGGCAUCAACAGAUUAGUAUCUACUUUGACAAAAAGCCAUUGUCAAAUCUUGUUGGACUGCCUGAUCAGUUUACUUUUGUUAUUAAUGACUCUGGCCAGCUUUCUUGAUCUAUGAGCAAUACUGUUAGAUGACAGAGGUCUUCCAUUUGGGCAGGAAAAAGAGAGAGAGAAAGAAUCAAUGCAGACACAAAAUAAAGCAUUUUGUUUCCCAGCAUUUUGUUUCCUAUCAAUGUUGUUGAUCAUAUAGAUUUGUAAUUUCAAACAAAGUCAUUAAAGUAAGUACUUCUAGUGUAUGAAAUCUUCUGUGUUAUUUCCCCAAUGUUUAUUGUGAGUUUACCUGUGGACUGUGUUUUCUGUAGCUGUUGGAAUAAAUGGAUUGUCAAAUGUUCCUUUCAGUUGUCCUUACCUACUGUUCAGAAUACAGUUAACUACUUAUUCAACUUCUUCUUCUUCUUCUUCCCUUUGGAAUGUCACAAAUAAACCUCAGUGACUAGACCAAAAUAGUUAUUACCAUGUUGCUUGCUUUCCAGUGUUCCAAAAUGUCAGACAUUUGACCUGCAUAGCUUUUAAACAUGACCUCAUUGCUGCUUUCCAUUCAUUAAGCUAUCCCCUUUUGCUCUCUUGUCAUAAAAGAUAAAUGAAGAUUCACACAAUCUUGGUGUGAGUGAAGAUUUAUUGUUUACAUUAAUGUAGAUUAAGUAGAAACAAACCAAUUAUAAAUCAUGCCAAUCUUGUCAUUUUAAGACUCCAUCAGUUUUCUUAUUCCCAUGAUUACAAUUUCUGGCCCUUUAUAGCACUUCAAAGAUGAACAACUCAGACUACUUUCCAAGUUAUAGUUAGCAAUUAGAGUGUAUUCUGCAGUAGAGUUCCGAGAUUUAAUUAUGCAAAAUUCGUGCUUUCUCCAAUUAAAUUAAUAAAUAUAUCAGACUUGUCUUUUAUACAGUCGAUGAUAAAAUGUUCUCAGCUCUGUAUGUGAACAAUGCCUUUGGAAGCAAAUAAAAACAUUAGUUCUGCCUCUGAGAUUUACGGAAUAACCUACAUCUUUGGUGGGUGGGAAUUCAGUUAGUCAGUGUUUUGGUGGCUUGUUUCCCUCAAGGAAACAGAUUUGUAAACUACUAAAGAUAAAAAUACUGGCAUUGGAACAGCAUUCUAGAACUUUUCUGUGUGCUCCAUUUGACUCUUUCGUUUUCUACUGGAAAGUGAUCACACCUAGAUAUGGGAUGUGAAUACAGAUGGAUCUGAAUCCUACAACCAUCUGCAGAGUUGUAAUUGCUGUCUGUACCCACUAGUUGUGGACAUAUAACUCUGCAUGGAUUCAACAUUAUUAUUUUUGUUUGUUACUUAGUGCCACCCACUAUAUCUGCCCCUCUUUUUUUUAAUACCAGUAAGCUACUGGGGGUUCUGAACCAGUGCCUCAAGAGGGUAAGGAUCUGGAUGAGGAAUAGCACACUGAAGUUCACUCCAAACAAGACAUGUGCUCCUUUUCUGGAGGAAUACAGGCUUGUAAACAGAACUUGUUUUGGAUGGAAUUCUACUCUACUUGGGAGUUCUUCUGGAUUCAGCUUUACAUUUGACCAGGUAGCAGCAGUGGCCAGGAUUGCAUUUACUGUAUCAGGCUGGCAUAUCACUCAUUCCUCCAUUAUCAGUUACUUCAAUGCACUCUUCAUGAGUCUGCUGUUGGUGAAUUUUUGAAAGCUGCAGUCAGUCCAGAUUUCACCAGCAAUGAUGUUUGUGGGCAUAUACUUAUAUAUGUUUGUGGGCAUAUACUUACAUAAUUUUUUUGCCAUUUCUCAUAAUACU
rnacentral:lncRNA from 1 species